GACGAACGCUGGCGGCGUGCUUAACACAUGCAAGUCGAACGGAAAGGCCCUGCUUGCAGGGUGCUCGAGUGGCGAACGGGUGAGUAACACGUGGGUGAUCUGCCCCUUACUUUGGGAUAAGCCUGGGAAACUGGGUCUAAUACUGGAUAGGACCAUGCUGUAGGUGGUGUGGUGGAAAGAUUUUUUCGGUAAGGGAUGAGCUCGCGGCCUAUCAGCUUGUUGGUGGGGUAAUGGCCUACCAAGGCGUCGACGGGUAGCCGGCCUGAGAGGGUGGACGGCCACAUUGGGACUGAGAUACGGCCCAGACUCCUACGGGAGGCAGCAGUGGGGAAUAGUGCACAAUGGGCGCAAGCCUGAUGCAGCGACGCCGCGGGGGGGAUGACGGCCUUCGGGUUGUAAACUCCUUUCAGCCAUGACGAAGCCUCUUUUGGGGUGACGGUAGUGGUAGAAGAAGCACCGGCUAACUACGUG
rnacentral:rRNA from 1 species